UAUUUUAUUCUCUUUUUAUUCCUUCAAGAGCCUGCUCCACCCAGAAAAGCACACUUUGUGAGAACCAAUGGGAAGGAGACUGAACUGCUGUGAACCUAUUCC